ACUUUUCAGAUGAAUGACGUGUGAAUCCAGUCUUUCUUUUCAAAAGAACGACAAUGUUUUAUUCUAUAACUUGAAGCACUGUGGUUGCUUACUUCCAUUCCAUACAUCAUUUUCAGACAAAACAAAAAGUCCUACGAAGCCAGGAAACAAAGUUUGUUUUCACCGGUUUUCACGUGGUUUUCAUGACGAAACUAAACAAUCGAUACUUAGUCGACUAAGGUUUCAAUUCGAUUUCUUACGGAACGAGUUUCACAUUUGUUAUUUUUUUGUGAAAUUUCAGACAUGUCAGUGUCAAGUUGAGAUCAUUUUCUUGAGACGACCUUGUUAGCGUGAUAACGUGAUUGCAGUCCGCAUUGAGGAGGUGAGAAUGACGUGAAUGUUGAACCAAGUGAAUUCGCACAACGUCCCCUUUCGAGAUUUAUGUUAAUUUCGCCGGGAAUUUUAUUACGACGCAACAGAACUUGAUAUCCUUCCAGCAGCAGCAGGUGUUUAGUAUACACAGCCGACUCCCGUACAUACUAGAUAUGCCCGAUGGCGUUCGUGGCAAGUCGACAAAAGAACUCACGCCGACUGACAUCGC